AUAUGGCCGACGCGGGUCAAAUUGUAGUAUCUGUUCUUAUCAGUCUCAUACCUGAUACGGGUUGCAUUUGGAACCAAGAUAUUAAACUUAUUCUUGCAAGUUGGCGGAGUGCUUGAAGCCUGCUUCACCUCCGCCGCGUGUCGGCCCGGUAUUGCACUAUCUUCGGAAUCGGCCCACGGUUU